GAGAGAUGGCUGAGUGGUUGAUAGCCCCGAUCUUGUCAACUGGUAUAUUUCUUUUUG
rnacentral:tRNA from 1 species